CGGAGGGUGCAAGCGUUAAUCGGAAUUACUGGGCGUAAAGGGUUCGUAGGUGGUUUAUUAAGUUAUUUGUAAAUCCCUGGGCUUAACCUGGGCAGGUCAGAUAAUACUGGUAGACUCGAGUAUGGGAGAGGGUAGUGGAAUUUCCGGUGUAGCGGUGAAAUGCGUAGAGAUCGGAAGGAACACCAGUGGCGAAGGCGGCUACCUGGCCUAAUACUGACACUGAGGAACGAAAGCGUGGGGAGCAAACAGGAUUAGAUACCCUGGUAGUCCACGCCGUAAACGAUGUCAACUAGCUGUUGGUCAUAUUGAUAUGAUUAGUGGCGCAGCAAACGCGAUAAGUUGACCGCCUGGGGAGUACGGUCGCAAGAUUAA
rnacentral:rRNA from 1 species